rnacentral:lncRNA from 1 species
UUCAUUCUUUCCUGGUGUGGACUGUCUGGUUUUAGCAUUGUAAAAUUUAUUUACAUUACCUGCCCUUAGAAUCCUAGCGCACACAGCAGACUGCAUUUUUGCCGCGUCUGACCUAGGAUCAUAGCAUUAAGGAAGCUGAUUCCUUUGUGAUAAUGGAGUCAAUGUUUCUCCAUUGUGAACGUGGCAAUUGUCUGAUUGCUCUUUCAUGCUGGUUUUCAGGGUAACUUGAGUUUCAGGUUGACUCUGUUACAUGUAAAUACAGCAGGGACUUUGUUUCAGGUAGGGGAGUGUAAACAAAAAUGGAGUGGAGACCUACUGUGUGGCUCAAGAGAUAAUUUCCCUCCCUUUCCUCUAGAGAGUGCAGUAAUGACCUGCUGACCCUCCUCUUCUUCAGGCAAGCUUGGCUUCCCUGCCCCGUGUGCUCAUUGAGAUCUGCUGAUGUCUAACCCCACAUGCCUUUUUUUCUCUACUGAGUAGACUGGGUCAGAGUUCAAGCCAUUAAGGUUCUAUCUGAACCCAAAGAGAAAAACCCGUUUUCUGAAACAUGAACUCUAAUUACAUAAAGUAGAUGCCUCUGAGAACAGUAUUGUCUCCUAGCCUAGGCUGCAGAUCUUGAACAACAAUCAAAACCUUGCCUUAUGUAAUGAAAGAGCAUUCAAAACCAAACAGCACCUGUCCGGUGUUCUCCCUGAUUAAGGAGAAAGUCGCUGGGGGUUGGGGGCUGGCAAGAGCCUGCCUAAAUCCCGGUGUAAGCGUGCAGGGGUCUCUCUGCACCAUUGGCAGGAGCAUUUCUCAGCAAAGGCUGCUGCAUCUUGUUUCCCUCUGUGGCACUCACUGAGGAGUUUGGCAAGAAGGCAUAGAUGAGCGGGGGAUGGGGGUGUUGGCUGCUGGCGAAGUUUUGGACUAGUAACUGUACUGUGUAGCUCAGUUUGCCAAGAGAACUCAAAAGCAGUAUGGACAGUCUGUCCUGCGAGCCGAUGAUGUCUCAUUGGGACCAAAACCACUACAUUCUAUGUAACCUCAUCAUUUUUUUCAAGCUAGACAAGGCUAAAUAUUCUGGCUUUCUGUUGUCCUUAUUUACUUUAAUUUUCUUUAUGGCCACCAGCAGUCUAACUUGUUCUCUUUUCAUGCUUCAGGAAGUUGAUAUAAAAGUCUUAGGCCUCUUAUACUUCAUGUGUGGACUGUUCAGUGUGUACCCUUGACCGUGUGCUAGGUUUGUAUGUGGUAGACUGAUGAAGAAGAAAUAGAUUCUUAGGAGCUAGUCCAGGCCAUCCAGUUAAUCUCCUGUGAAGUCCCUGUGACGCCACCACCUGCCUUUGAUUUUACAAGCUCUUCAGUGAUUGUGAUACAUAGCUCAGUCUCAGCAUUGUCGGAUGCUUCCUGUUGAUGAAGUGGUUAGCAAAGCAAGAGAGUUCGAAGGGGAUGCUCUGAGUUACACUGAACUCAGGUUAGAAUCCAUUCCCACUCAGAAAGUGGUACUGGGUGUCUAAUAUGUGCUGUGCUCGGGCCCAAAGGAUCUCCCUUGGGAUUUCUUGGGUGAAAUCUCACAGGACACUGGAACAUUUCUUCCUUGAGUGGUGUCUCAUUCGGUAGCUUGAAGACAUGAAGAAGGUGAAACUGGAGGAGAAUGGGCUCUCUGAGGGAGAAAUCCUGGGGCGGCAUCGGGAGGACCCCAGUGACCAGGGCACUGAUGUUGCUCUGUGUUGUCUUUGCAGUCUCCUAAAUGUAGAACUACUAUGUACUAUUUGCCUAGUGACUUUUAAUUCCUUAUUUAACAUAGGAAAUGUUCAUUGAGCACUUCUUUGUGUUAAGCAAGACAUCAAGGAAAAGCACAUUCUUUGUUUAGCUGAUUAAGGAUGGGUAUAAAGGAUUCUAGAAUGUUCUAGAAUGUUCUGGGUUGUUUUUUGUUUUUUGGGUUUUUUUUUGUGACAGUGAUUAAAACUAGAAAAGUGGUUUUAAGACUGGACAUACUAUACUUGUUGAUUGG